rnacentral:lncRNA from 1 species
GUUAUUGCUGAAGAUGCAAGAUUCAACCGUGUCACCAGUGACCAACACAACAGUCUUUUCAAACAGCACCAGCGUCACCAAGACCACCGAACAAAUCCUCAUUCAGAGUUCUGGAGCCAUGAUCGCACUCAUCGUCGUGGGCAUCAUCCUCAUUCUUGCCGUUCUUCUGAUCAUCCUGAAGACGUACAACAGGUACACACAUGCGUCCAGAGUCCUGGGGGCCGGUAGCUCCAAACCUCGUCCCAAGACUCAGUCCAUGUCUCAGAGCACCGUGCCGCUCACAGACGUGCACGUGAGCUCCGUGUCCGACAGCAUCAGCCAAUCACGGCCGGCCUCAGAGAACGGCUUCAGGCUGCCCAACGCUGAGCUCAGCAUGAUGGAGGGGAACCACAUAGAGCAGUUCAGCACCAACAGUGGAUCCACCGUGGUCACCAUACAUGGACCUCCAUCUGUAGAGAACACAUAGCAGUGUGUGUGUGUGUGUGUGUGUGUGUGUGUGUGUGUGUGUGAGAACUCUAAACUGACUGAAUCCUGUGGACUAUGCUGUUUCUUCUGCCACUCAUUAUAUAUAUAGAAAUGAGACACUUUUUUGCUGACUAAGGAAUAGUACAGCACAUUUACAAAGGGACACUUUAAAUAAAUAAAAUCUCUAAGAACUGGCA